rnacentral:lncRNA from 1 species
UAAGAUCGAUCUUCUAUGUCAGCAAAUAUAAGAUAUGGAUCUGAAAGGUGUAAAAAGUUUUAGAAAGCAAGCUAUUUUCCCAGGCUUGCCACAUGUAUUAGAUCAGAUCAGGACAGUUAACAUCAUUUAUUAAGAAAACACACUAAAAGUAAGCUUUUGAUUUCUGCUCAUCAAUUUCUGAAAUUCUAUGGGCUACUGACAUGCUAGAUAGGUGUAGGUACAACUCUGGAAUAAACAAACUUUGUUAGAAUAAUCAUAGAUAAUUUAGAUAAGAAUUCGAUCAUGUUCAUCAAAUCUCAGAUGCUCAACUUGCAUACAUACAGAUUCGAUCAACCGCCAGAUUAGCAUGUAACUAGGCUGCUAAUCAGUAUCUAAGCUAUCAAAAUAGUAUGCUCUGACAAAACACAUCAGAUACAUCUCUAAUAAGGGACAUGACAGUAUGCCCUCAUUAAACACACCAAAUGCACUUUCUUUAGAAUAGCCAUAAUAAUUAGUACUUGACAAGCCAACAUCGUACAUGCAUGGCAUGAGGGAGGGUGGUAUACACGGUGCCUAUGCCUGGUAUCAUUCAUCUAGUGCAGAGAUAUGUAAUAAAUAAUUUAAGGAUAAACAAAUGCUAACUAGGACACAUUCAAUGUUAUAUCUUAAACUGUUAAAAUAGCAAUAAUAGAGGUGUAAAAACAUGUUUAGACCUUUAAAUAUAUUUUUAAUUCUUAUGAACAUGCCAAAACCUAUGAAUCCAUCAGGAUUUAUACAUAUACAUACAUGUAUAUGAUACUAUAUUUUCUUGAAAAUUGUGAAAUUAUAUAAGCCACAUUAAUACAAAUGAUAU